GCUUUGAUGGAAAGAGAAGAAAAAGUAGGUUGUAAGACAGUACACUUGGAGGCGCGCUGGUCUUGGUCAUUAGAAAUAGGAACCUUUUUUUUUUGCAGCAAACUUCACUUAGUUAAAAUGUAACUAUUUAGUUUAGUUUUUUUUAAGGACAAAAUGUGUAUUUGGACUUAUGUAACUUAUUGAAUUAAAAGUCUAAUGGCCGUUGUAACUUGUUGAAUUUGAAAAGAAUUGAAUUAUUAAAGUGAAUUUGGGCUAUUUGCAAUUUGUUGGAU
rnacentral:lncRNA from 1 species